rnacentral:rRNA from 1 species
CCGGUAAUGUUAAGCAUGGCAGUGAGACUGCGGGGGAUAAGCUCCGUUGGUCGAGAGGGAAACAGCCCAGAUCGCCGGUUAAGGCCCCUAAGGGUGUUCUAAGUGGAAAAGGAUGUGGGAUCGCGAAGACAGCCAGGAGGUUGGCUUAGAAGCAGCCAUCCUAGAAAGAGUGCGUAAUAGCUCACUGGUCGAGUGGUUCUGCGCCGACAAUGUAGUGGGGCUCAAGUACACC